rnacentral:rRNA from 1 species
GAUGAACGCUAGCUACAGGCUUAACACAUGCAAGUCGAGGGGAAACGACAUCGAAAGCUUGCUUUUGAUGGGCGUCGACCGGCGCACGGGUGAGUAACGCGUAUCCAACCUGCCCACCACUUGGGGAUAACCUUGCGAAAGUAAGACUAAUACCCAAUGACGUCUCUAGAAGACAUCUGAAAGAGAUUAAAGAUUUAUCGGUGAUGGAUGGGGAUGCGUCUGAUUAGCUUGUUGGCGGGGUAACGGCCCACCAAGGCGACGAUCGGUAGGGGUUCUGAGAGGAAGGUCCCCCACAUUGGAACGGAGACACGGUCCAAACUCCUACGGGAGGCAGCAGUGAGGAAGAUUGGUCAAUGGACGAGAGUCUGAACCAGCCAAGUAGCGUGCAGGAGGACGGCCCUAUGGGUUGUAAACUGCUUUUAUAAGGGAAUAAAGUGAGUCUCGUGAGACUUUUUGCAUGUACCUUAUGAAUAAGGACCGGCUAAUUCCGUG